CCCUGGCUUUUCCAGGGGAAAAGUAAGUAAGAAAGGUGUGAAAAUUAAAUGCAGCUUGUGUGGUGCAACAGGCCAUAAUAAGAGAUACCAUGGGCAGAACAACACAACAAGUUCAGCAUGGACAUCACAGGGAUUUGGACCUGUGCCAGAGAACAUAAUGUAGUUGGGUUAGAUUUAAACAUAGGUGGUGUUGACAAUGACUUGGGUGGUGCUUCUCAAACACAGGAAACUCAACUGAGGGAGCCAAAUCUGAGCAAAUAUGGAAAAAGUGUUGCAUCAAGUGAAACACA